ACUCCUAUGCAACUGAUGUUGAGUUUAUAACAACUUAGAUAUAUUUUUAUUAUUAUAAUUUAUUCUAUAUUAUCUAUUCCAUAUUCUAUAUUAUAUCAUUAUAUGCUAUCUAUUAUAGAUAUCAGUUUUUAUUUAUUCCAAGACAAAUAGGGAUCCAGCCAAUGGAAUGGUCAUGUACUUCAUCCUGUCAGGAAAAAUGCAUCUCUUGGUGAGGACCAACACAGAAUAACUGUGCUCUGGUACAGAACAAGAGAAGUGGAGAAUGGAACACUCCUUGUGACAAAAGGAAAACUUGGUAGCAUGGACAUGAG